ensembl:miRNA
ACGGAGGUGCAGAACAGCUUCGGGUGACAGCGCAUCUGAUUUCUGUGUCUCUGUCA